rfam:Bacillus coahuilensis p1.1.43 ABFP000045, whole genome shotgun sequence.
UUUAUGGAGAGUUUGAUCCUGGCUCAGGACGAACGCUGGCGGCGUGCCUAAUACAUGCAAGUCGAGCGAGGCCUUCGGGCCUAGCGGCGGACGGGUGAGUAACACGUGGGUAACCUGCCUGUAAGACUGGGAUAACUCUUCUCCCU